rnacentral:lncRNA from 1 species
CAGAUUCCACUAAUUCACAAAAGCACUUCACCUUACCACUCGCAUUAGAUGCACAAACUAACAGUUGAAUUUCCUACCUUCUUGUAUUCACAAAAGCACUUCACCUGCCACUCGCAUUAGAUGCACAUACUAACAAUUGAAUUUCCUACCUUCUUGUUAAGAAGGUAAUGAAAUACGUCAAAAAUUUUGUAUUAAGAAAAAAAAAUCCUACAUUCUUCCAGAAAGGAUCAGUAAGAGAGGCAUAUUCAGCAUGUCAUAAGGUUUUGUGAUCAUAUAACCCUGAUUAGCAUGUCAUUCAAAUAAGUUGUUCGUUGAUUACAUUUAUCACUCUUUAAAACAACAAAAAUUUAGGUACUACCAGCAACUGCCUACACUGCCAACAUUUACUGGCUGAGGGAAGAUAUCGGCUCAGGAUAUACCUUGCCUGUCCCCAUAAGAAUGUUUUACCUAUCAUCGCAAAGUAUGCUCAUUGGGUAAGAGUAAACCGUAGGUAGUAUAAGGCAUAAAGAACCAUAACACAUUGAAAAGCGAAGUCAGUACCUAAACCGCGU